rnacentral:rRNA from 1 species
AAGASCUUGCGCUUUUGGAGUGGCCGAUGCCUGAUUAGCUAGUUGGUGGGGUAAGGGCCUACCAAGGCAACGAUCAGUAGUUGGUCUGAGAGGACGACCAGCCACACUGGGACUGAGACACGGCCCAGACUCCUACGGGAGGCAGCAGUGGGGAAUUUUGGACAAUGGGCGAAAGCCUGAUCCAGCAAUGCCGCGUGAGUGAAGAAGGCCUUCGGGUUGUAAAGCUCUUUCAGUCGAGAAGAAAAGGUUGUGACUAAUAAUCACAACUUAUGACGGUACCGACAGAAGAAGCACCGGCUAACUACGUGCCAGCAGCCGCGGUAAUACGUAGGGUGCGAGCGUUAAUCGGAAUUACUGGGCGUAAAGGGUGCGCAGGCGGCUUUGUAAGUCAGAUGUGAAAUCCCCGGGCUUAACCUGGGAAUU